AGUAACGGCGAGUGAAGCGGCAACAGCUCAAAUUUGAAAUCUGGCGCUUGCGUCCGAGUUGUAAUUUGCAGAGGAUGCUUCUGGCAAAGUGCCUUCCGAGUUCCCUGGAACGGGACGCCAUAGAGGGUGAGAGCCCCGUACGGUCGGUUGCUGCGCCGCUGUGAAGCGCCUUCGACGAGUCGAGUAGUUUGGGAAUGCUGCUCUAAAUGGGAGGUAAACUCCUUCUAAAGCUAAAUAUUGGCCAGAGACCGAUAGCGCACAAGUAGAGUGAUCGAAAGAUGAAAAGCACUUUGAAAAGAGAGUCAAACAGCACGUGAAAUUGUUGAAAGGGAAGCGCUUGUGACCAGACUUGGGCUUGGUAGUUCAGCCGUCCUUCUGGGCGGUGCACUCUGCCGGUUCAGGCCAGCAUCAGUUGUCGGUUGGGGAGAAAGAUGGCGGGAACGUGGCUCUUCGGAGUGUUAUAGCCCGCCAUUAUGCCCUUCUGGCGACUGAGGAUAGCGUUCUGCACGGAUGCUGGCGUAAUGGUUAUCAGCGACCCGUCUUGAAACACGGACCAAGGAGUCAUCCUAAUAUGCGAGUGUUUGGGUGUUAAACCCCUACGCGGAAUGAAAGUAAACGGAGGUGAGAGCUUCGGCGCAUCAUCGACCGAUCCUGAUGUUUUCGGAUGGAUUUGAGUAAGAGCAUAUUGGGCUGGACCCGAAAGAAGGUAGGCAUCUCCGCCGUAAAAGGAAAAAUUUGAGAAAAUAUGCUAACGAAACGAAAUAGGUGAACUAUGCUUGGAUAGGGCAAAGCCAGAGGAAACUCUGGUGGAGGCUCGCAGCGGUUCUGACGUGCAAAUCGAUCGUCAAAUCUGAGCAUGGGGGCGAAAGUAAGUUGGACUCGGUCCCUCCAGGGCAGAAGAAUCAAUGCUAACAAAAUUACAGGACUAAUCGAACCUUCUAGU
rnacentral:rRNA from 1 species